rnacentral:tRNA from 1 species
GGUAAGAUGGCUGAGUUUUAAGCGGUGGAUUGUAGCCCCACAUACAGGGGUUUGAUUCCCCUUCUUAUCA